rnacentral:rRNA from 1 species
UACGUAGGUGGCGAGCGUUGUCCGGAUUUAUUGGGUUUAAAGGGCGCGUAGGCGGCUUGUACAGUCAGACGUGAAAUUCCUGGGCUCAACCUGGGGGCUGCGUUUGAUACGUGCGGGCUUGAGUUCGGGAGAGGAGCGUGGAAUUCCCAGUGUAGAGGUGAAAUUCGUAGAUAUUGGGAAGAACACCGGUGGCGAAGGCGGCGCUCUGGACCGAGACUGACGCUGAGGCGCGAAAGCGUGGGGAGCAAACAGG